rnacentral:tRNA from 2 species
CCGAAAGAGGCCCGAAGCAAUAGAGACUGCUAAUCCCUACGACCGCGGUUAAA